AAUAUUGGACAAUGGGGGCAAGCCUGAUCCAGCCAUGCCGCGUGAGUGAAGAAGGCCCUAGGGUUGUAAAGCUCUUUCACCCGCGAAGAUGAUGACGGUAGCGGGAGAAGAAGCCCCGGCUAACUACGUGCCAGCAGCCGCGGUAAUACGUAGGGGGCGAGCGUUGUCCGGAAUUACUGGGCGUAAAGGGUACGUAGGCGGCUAUAUAAGUCAGGUGUGAAAUACCAGUGCUUAACACUGGAAUUGCAUUUGAAACUGUGUAGCUUGAGUGCAGGAGAGGAAAGUGGAAUUCCUAGUGUAGCGGUGAAAUGCGUAGAGAUUAGGAGGAACACCAGUGGCGAAGGCGACUUUCUGGACUGUAACUGACGCUGAGGUACGAAAGCGUGGGUAGCGAACA
rnacentral:rRNA from 1 species